ensembl:lncRNA
CACUAUCCAAUCAAGUUAGUUUACUUAAAAGGAUGGCUCACACAACUUCACUUUAUGCAUUCUCUUAUUACAGAAGGGAAAAGGCACCAAACCACGACAUCUUCGAGUUGAUUACAAUGCCUCUAAGUCUUUGAUAAGUCGAAGAGGAUGAGACUAAACAGGGGGCUAUUCAGGACUUAACCAGUUCACCAGUAACUUGGCAACUGACGAAAUGGUUGACAUGCUUGAUCAUCUGUCAAGGUGCACCAUUCUUAAGGAAAUGGCCUUUGACUCUAAACAAUGGGCUGGACCAGCAAGAUGAGUGAACUUUUUAGCUGAUGUCAUUUUAAUCAUGGGGCUGGAUGGGAGGCCCCCUAAUCAUAUUAGCUGAACUCUCCAGCCAGACCGCAAUAGAUCACGUUCACAAAUCUGCUUGAGAUGCCUUUGCGGUUUACUGAAGCAAUCCACUGGGACCUUGCAGGCUUCAAAUAGCUUUUGGCCUUUGGAGAAGAUCAUGUUAAAGAAGCUCUGACGAAGGCCUUGAGGCAGAUUAUUAAUAAAAAGCGUGAUACUAAAGCGAGCGGUGUUAUGUUAUUCAAUUGGUAAUAUGCAACAAAGAUGGCUCAAAUGGGGAAGUGUCUUUUGAAUUUGGGAAAGAUGGUGUUCAAAUUCAUUGGAUUGAUCACAUCUCACAAUCUAAAUUUUAAGGGAGUAUAUUGCAUUGGAAGCCUAAUUUGAAGAUUAUACUUGUCAUGUAGUAAACUGGACUUGUUCAAAACAGACAUUACUGCAUUGAAGAGGAACUGCCCCCUAAUAAUCCAAAUCCUUUUGAAAAUAGCCUGUGGUAUCAUUUUAUUCUAGUGUCAAUUGACAUAAGUGAGAUUACUUUGGUUAUCGUAAACUAAGUUUGACACCUCUGUCACAAGGAGUAAAGUUAGGGCUGGGUUUGUAUUACAUUUGUCAAAUCAUGCCCCCCUUAGACUUGCUGUGCAAAUUGCCCAUGUUACUUAGCUAUGAGAAACUAGCCACAAAGAUUACCGAUGGACUACAGUUAAAAUAAAG